rnacentral:rRNA from 1 species
UACGAAGGGGGCUAGCGUUGCUCGGAAUCACUGGGCGUAAAGGGUGCGUAGGCGGGUCUUUUAAGUCAGGGGUGAAAUCCCGGGGCUCAACCUCGGAACUGCCUUUGAUACUGCAAAUCUCGAGUCCGAUAGAGGUGGGUGGAAUUCCUAGUGUAGAGGUGAAAUUCGUAGAUAUUCGGAAGAACACCAGUGGCGAAGGCGGCUCACUGGUCCGGUACUGACGCUGAGGUGCGAAAAGCGUGGGGAGCAAACAGGG